rnacentral:rRNA from 1 species
AACGAACGCUGGCGGCAGGCCUAACACAUGCAAGUCGAACGCUGUAGCAAUACAGAGUGGCAGACGGGUGAGUAACGCGUGGGAACCUUCCCAAUGGUACGGAAUAGCCCAGGGAAACUUGGGGUAAUACCGUAUACGCCCCUAGGGGGAAAGAUUUAUCGCCAUUGGAUGGGCCCGCGUCGGAUUAGCUAGUUGGUGAGGUAAUGGCUCACCAAGGCAACGAUCCGUAGCUGGUUUGAGAGAAUGACCAGCCACACUGGGACUGAGACACGGCCCAGACUCCUACGGGAGGCAGCAGUGGGGAAUCUUGGACAAUGGGCGCAAGCCUGAUCCAGCCAUGCCGCGUGAGUGACGAAGGCCUUAGGGUUGUAAAGCUCUUUUGCCGGGGACGAUAAUGACGGUACCCGGAGAAUAAGUCCCGGCUAACUUCGUGCCAGCCGCCGCCGUAA